rnacentral:rRNA from 1 species
CAGUCGCCGCGGUAAAACGGAGGGGGCUAGCGUUGUUCGGAAUUACUGGGCGUAAAGCGCACGUAGGCGGCUUGGUAAGUUAGAGGUGAAAGCCUGGAGCUCAACUCCAGAAUUGCCUUUAAGACUGCCGAGCUAGCAGGUGAGAGAGGUAAGUGGAAUUCCGAGUGUAGAGGUGAAAUUCGUAGAUAUUCGGAAGAACACCAGCGGCGAAGGCGGCUUACUGGCUCAUACUGGACGCUGAGGUGCGAAAGCGUGGGGAGCAAACAGGAUUAGAUACCCCCGUAGUCCCUGUCUCUUAUAC